ensembl:snoRNA small nucleolar RNA SNORD10
GUUCCAUGAUGAUUCUCCCAUGCGUGUCAUCUGACCCCUCCAUUUAUCCCCCCCCGUCCCGCGUCCUGCUGGGCAGGGGGGGAGGAAUCCCAAGGGGAAAGUGAUCAUACCUGGAUAAC